AUUGAACGCUGGCGGCAGGCCUAACACAUGCAAGUCGAGCGGUUGAGGUAGCUUGCUACCGAUGCAGCGGCGGACGGGUGAGUAAUACAUGGGAAUCUGCCUGGUAGUGGGGGACAACGUUUCGAAAGGAACGCUACUCCCGCAUACGCCCUACGGGGGAAAGGGGGGGAUCUUCGGACCUCUCGCUAUCAGACGAGCCCAUGUCGGAUUAGAUUGUUGGUGGGGUAAAGGCUCACCAAGGCGACGAUCCGUAACUGGUCUGAGAGGAUGAUCAGUCACACUGGAACUGAGACACGGUCCAGACUCCUACGGGAGGCAGCAGUGGGGAAUAUUGGACAAUGGGCGCAAGCCUGAUCCAGCCAUGCCGCGUGUGUGAAGAAGGCCUUAGGGUUGUAAAGCACUUUCAGUGGGGAGAAAGGUCAUUCACCUAAUACGUGAGUGAAUUGAUGUUACCCACAGAAGAAGCACCGGCUAACUCCGUGCCAGCCGCCGCCGUAA
rnacentral:rRNA from 1 species